GGGGGUAUAGCUCAGGAGUAGAGCGCUCGUUUCGCAUGCGAAAAGUCUGGGUUCGAUUCAACGUACUUCCA
rnacentral:tRNA from 1 species